rnacentral:rRNA from 1 species
AGUGAACGCUGGCGGUAGGCCUAACACAUGCAAGUCGAACGGCAGCACAGUAAGAGCUUGCUCUUACGGGUGGCGAGUGGCGGACGGGUGGGGAAUACAUCGGAAUCUACUUUUUCGUGGGGGAUAACGUAGGGAAACUUACGCUAAUACCGCAUACGACCUACGGGUGAAAGCAGGGGAUCUUCGGACCUUGCGCGAUUGACUGAGCCGAUGUCGGAUUAGCUAGUUGGCGGGGUAAGGGCCCACCCAGGCGACGAUCCGUAGCUGGUCUGAGAGGAUGAUCAGCCACACUGGAACUGAGACACGGUCCAGACUCCUACGGGAGGCAGCAGUGGGGAAUAUUGGACAAUGGGCGCAAGCCGGAUCCAGCCAUACCGCGUGGGUGAAGAAGGCCUUCGGGUUGUAAAGCCCUUUUGUUGGGAAAGAAAAGCAGCAGGUUAAUACCCCGCUGUUCUGACGGUACCCAAAGAAUAAGCACCGGCUAACUUCGUG